AGCCUGAAGGUGCUGGCAGAGGGCGGGGCGGCCGGCUGGCCUAGGCGAGGGGCGCCGUUGCUGCUGCGGCCAGCCGCCCAGGCCCUGGCCUUCUCCGGAAGCCCCCCAACUUCGUCCUGAACCAAUCUGCCUUGGACUUGUUCUCUUUGCAGCCGUCGGCCCCCGCCCGUGAGCUGGCGUCCCACAGACCGGGAGGACUCGGCCCCACCCUCCAAGAGCUGCCGCAGUUGGAGGAGUCGGUCGAAUCCUGAUGUCCCGUCCUAGUGCGACCCGACUGGGUCGGAGGUAACCAGCUGCCGGCAGAGGCCACCAUGGAGCAGUGUGCGUGCGUGGAGAGAGAGCUGGACAAGGUGCUGCAGAAGUUCCUGACCUAUGGGCAGCACUGCGAGCAGAGCCUUGAGGAGCUGCUGCACUACGUGGGCCAGCUGCGGGCUGAGCUGGCCAGUUCAGCUCUCCAGGGGACCCCUCUCUCAGCCACUCUUUCCCUGGUGAUGUCCCAGUGCUGCCGGAAGAUCAAAGACACUGUCCAGAAACUGGCUUCAGACCACAAGGACAUUCAUAGCAGUGUGUCUCGAGUAGGGAAAGCUAUUGACAGGAACUUUGACUCUGAGAUUUGCAGUGUAGUCUCGGAUGCAGUGUGGGACUCUCGGGAGAAGCAGCAGCAGAUUUUGCAGAUGGCUAUUGUAGAGCACCUCUACCAGCAGGGCAUGCUCAGCGUUGCCAAAGAGCUGUGUCAGGAAUCAACACUGAAUGUGGACUUGGAUUUCAAGCAGCCCUUCUUGGAGUUGAAUCGGAUCUUGGAAGCGCUGCAUGAACAAGACUUGGGGCCUGCACUGGAAUGGGCUGUCUCCCACCGGCAGCGCCUGCUAGAGCUCAAUAGCUCCCUUGAGUUCAAGCUGCACCGCCUGCACUUCAUCCGCCUCCUAGCAGGUGGCCCUGAAAAGCAGCUGGAGGCCCUCAGCUAUGCCCGGCACUUCCAGCCCUUUGCUCAUCUGCAUCAGCGGGAGAUCCAGGUGAUGAUGGGCAGCCUGGGAUACCUGCGGCUGGGCUUGGAGAAGUCACCCUACUGCCACCUCCUGGACAACAGCCACUGGGCAGAGAUCUGUGAGACCUUUACUCGUGAUGCUUGUUCUCUGCUGGGACUUUCAGUGGAGUCCCCUCUCAGUGUCAGCUUUGCUUCUGGUUGUGUGGCACUGCCUGUGCUGAUGAACAUCAAAGCUGUGAUUGAGCAGAGGCAGUGCACUGGGGUCUGGAGUCACAAGGACAAGCUGCCGAUUGAAAUUGAACUAGGCAUGAAGUGCUGGUACCACUCAGUGUUCGCUUGCCCCAUCCUCCGCCAGCAGACUUCAGAUUCCAACCCUCCCAUCAAGUUCAUCUGCGGCCACGUCAUUUCUCGAGAUGCACUCAACAAGCUGAUUAAUGGGGGGAAGCUGAAGUUUCCCUACUGCCCCAUGGAGCAGAACCCAGCUGAUGGGAAACGCAUCAUAUUCUGAUUCCUGCUUGGAAGGCACUUCGCUGGAAAGAGUUUUUCAUCCACAGUAUUUGUCUGUCUCUGGGGCAAGUGGGUGGCUGGCUUCUUUGGUGAUCAAUUUCAGAGCUCCUGGCUGAGGAACACUGCCACAGAGCAGAGCCUGACCAGAUUAUCAGCAGAGGCCCAGAAAGGAGGUGAACCAAUGCACACUUGGCAACUGGUUCUUCUGCUAUAAGGAAAGGGAGCUCCUGGCUUCUAGACUUCUACUCUGUCUUCUCUGCCUUGACUUAGCAGCAGCUGACAGAGUAGCAAAG